rnacentral:rRNA from 1 species
UCAGGUUGAUCCUGCCGGACCCGACUGCUAUCUNAGUGGGACUAAGCCAUGCGAGUCAACGCCGCAAGGCGUGGCAUACGGCUCAGUAACACGUAGUCAACAUGCCCAAGGGACGUGGAUAACCUCGGGAAACUGAGGAUAAACCGCGAUAGGCCAAGAUUUCUGGAAUGGAUCAUGGCUGAGAUCUAUAUGGCCCUUGGAUUGGACUGCGGCCGAUCAGGCUGUUGGUGAGGUAAUGGCCCACCAAACCUAUAACCGGUACGGGCUUUGAGGGAAGGAGCCCGGAGAUGGGCACUGAGACAAGGGCCCAGGCCCUAUGGGGCGCAGCAGGCGCGAAAGCUCUGCAAUAGGCGAAAGCUUGACAGGGUUACUCUGAGUGAUGUCCGUUAAGGGCAUCUUUUGGCACCUCUAAAAAUGGUGCAGAAUAAGGGGUGGGCAAGUCUGGUGUCAGCCGCCGCGGUAAUACCAGCACCCCGAGUGGUCGGGACGAUUAUUGGGCCUAAAGCAUCCGUAGCUUGUCCUGCAAGUCCUCCGUUAAAUCCACCUGCUCAACAGAUGGGCUGCGGAGGAUACUACAGGGCUAGGAGGCGGGAGAGGCAAGCGGUACUCAGUGGGUAGGGGUAAAUCCUCUGAUCCA